CUGAAUCUUAUAAGAUUAGGGUACCCCAUGUGGGCCCAGGGUGCAGUGGCUGCAAACAGCAGCCUCCUUGAUAGUGUAUGCAGCCUGUUGUCUAUACAGGUUGCCCUAAGGGACCUUGGAGACAGAC
rnacentral:snoRNA from 1 species